rnacentral:lncRNA from 1 species
GUCUACUGCACCAGCUGCCAUCACCUUCUCAACCAGAGCCUUUCUGUUCCUUGGUGACAAACCUCCUGGUCAGAUCUGUCCCACGCCUCAGGGGCAGCCCUCAGAGUUGCAUCAUGAGGUUAUUACUGAUUUCUUCAAAUCUCAUUCAUUUUCCAACAAUUCAAAGCCAUACAGGCACCCUCCCAGUCCCUGUGCCAGUGCUGGUCUCCAGGCUGAGCCCAGGAGGAGACCAUAGCAGGGAAAUUCCAGGAGUGAGGGAAAAACAUUGCAUUAGUGUUGCUAUGGAGACAAAAAUUAGCACAAUAACUAUUGUGUUCUGUUCCAAAGCUUCCCAGUCUUCAGUUUUAACUCCUUCCCCUGCUCUACCACUGUUUCAGAUCUGUCCCAGCAACAUUCCAGGAGACCUGACAAAUUUCUGGGCCAGGAACUGGAAAGGGAAUGGCAGAACACAUAAGAGCCUGAAGUCUGGGCACAGACCAGAAGAGAAGCAGAAAAAGGUUAUUGGCAGUACCUGGUGUUGCUAAGGCUGAUUUAAUUCCUAUUCCCAGAGGCAGCUUUUCCAAGGUGAUUCCUGACUUUUUUUUGCUUUCUUGCAGGUUUUUGGCAGUACCUGGUGUUGUUAAGGCUGAUUUAAUUCCUAUUACCAGAGGCAGCUUUUCCAAGGUGAUUCCUGACACAGGAGAUGGUGAGUUGCUUUUCACCCUCACACACAGAGACUUUAUACAUGUGGUUGUGAUGUACCUGCUUUAGUGAUCAAAUCAACUUGGUUGGAUCUUCCAUAGGGAUUCUGCAAAGCAGGUUGAAUACAGGGUUUUGCUGACCUCUGCCAGAAUGACCUUUCCUUAAAGUAGUAGAGGAGAGAAAAGUCUGCACUGCAAAAAGCCUCACGUGGGAGCAGGGAAAUGCAGCCAAGGGAGGGUUGACCUGUGGGGUUAUUGAAGGCUUAAUGGGGCAAUCUGAGCACACUUAGUGCAGUGGAAAGCUGCAGACCAGCCAGGAAAAGAUGUCAAAGAGGACAAUCAGUUGAGAAAAGGAGAGCAGUGGCUGACAGAAGGAUGUCUGAAUAAAUGAAGGAUGUCCAGCCCAGUGUGAGAAAUUCAGGCACUGCAGGAGCAGCUUAAUCUGCAGUCCUAGAUCUGAGCGACCUUCUCCACAGCCUUGGACAUUUAAACACUCAACAUCUACUUUAACUGAGGGGAAAAAAACAAUGGUGCCAAUAUAAUGCUUCAUUGCACAGAUAUAUUUUAAAGACUUAACCUUUGCAAGACAUUUUGAAGAUGGAAAGCCCAGCAGCACAAUGAUAUUUUUGUGAGAAGACUUUUCUCAGUUUUUGCAUUAGCCACUGUAUGCUUGGUUUUAUUUCUGGUUUUGCCUUGUGCAGUUUUACCAAGUGACUUUUUCCAUAGCCUACAUGUAGAUUUUUAAUAGCAAAGAUGAAAUCUCAAAAUCCUUGUUUUGAGUAGUCAUUCAAAUUCAACAGCUUAACAUUGAUAACAUUUCAGAAAAGACAAUUGGUUUGAAUACAAAAAUGUUUAAAAAU